rnacentral:tRNA from 1 species
CGGGUGAUAGCGCAGCAUGGUAGCGCACUACCUUGGGGUGGUAGGGGUCGCGAGUUCAAAUCUCGCUCAUCCGA